rnacentral:lncRNA from 13 species
UAGCUGGGCACGGUGGUGCAUGCCUGUAAUCCCAGCUACUCAGGAGGCUGAGGCAGGAGAAUUGCCUGAACCCAGGAGGCGGAGAUUGCGGUGAGCCGAGAUCGCGCCAUUGCACUCCAGCCUGGGUAACAAGAGCGAAACUCCGUCUCAAAAAAAAAAAAAAAUUACAUGAGAUGUUCAACACUUUAUGAUAAAAUAGGCUUUGCGUUAGAUGGUUUUGCCCAGCUGUAGGCUAAUACAGUGUUCUGAGCAUCUUUAAGGUAGGCUAGGCUAAGCUAGGACAUUCUGAAUGUUAGGUGUCUUACAUGCAUUUUCGACCUAAUGAUAUUUUCAACAUUUGAUGGGCUUCUUGGAUUGCAGCCCCAUUGCAAGUCAAGGAGCAUCUGUCCUGACAAGAGAGAUUAAAUGGAAACAUGCCAGGAUUCUUGAGGCUAAGGCUCGAAAGCGGCACCUCAUCCCUCCCCUGCAUUCCACUGGUGAAACGCUUCUCAAGGCUGGCACAGAUUCAAGGGAUGGGAAGUGGACCGUGAUUCUUUGGUGAUAAUGAUGACCACCUGGGACACGGGACACCAGGCGUUCCUCCGAGUGCUUUGUACGUGCCAUGCCUCAUUUAAUCCUACAACGACCUUGCAAUAACCCGAGACAGCUCUAAGACAAAUGUAUGAUGAUCCCUGAAGAAUAGAGGAGGUGAUGGAAGUUAGGACAUAUGGCAGGGUUCACUUCAAAAGACCCUGGUUUCUUUGCCUAAGUCCACGCUCUGCUCUGAGAUGUACCGCCUCCCCCAUCAUGACUGCACUUUGAAACACGCUAAAACCUCGGGAGACUGUGCAGAACAGAAAACGUGUUCAAGGGCCCUGAAUCCCAAGGGACCCUCUUACAGCAACCACAGAGUGGCUUCUGUCAUUUCCGGGUAGGGUGGAGAUUUCCUUCUCAUUGGGGUGCCAGAUAAAGUGAUGAUGUAAACUGAGGGAAUCUGUGGGGAUCGCUCCCGUGUGAGGCCCCUGGGAAAUGGGCCUCUUGAGCCCAGACACAGAUCCCUGGUUGGGGGAGUCGAGCUGAGGGAAAGCACAAACCGAGAGAGGGACUAUGUUAUUCUAAAUAACUAACAGACAUUACUUUAUGGAUAUGAGGACUUGGGAGGCAAUGUGUCCACUUUAGGCUUCUUAUGGUUUAUUGCUUCUGUUCAUUUUGGACCCUUGUUACCUUCAUUGUAAGAUAUUAACUUAAGUAUCUACACUUGGUAACUUACUUACCGUAACUUGCCGUGUGUAACUGUAACUUACUUCCCAUAGCUUACUGGGCGUGACUGUAACUUACUUCCCAUAGCUUACUGGGCGUGAC